AUGUUUUGCAUAUCCCAAACAGACAUUUUAAACAUAAAUAAAUAUGCUUGGUUUAUAUCAAUUAUGUUAGAGUUUAUAAAUAUUAAUAAAAUUAUUAUUAACGACAUGUACACAGAAGGAGUAGAUGAAGAAACUCAUCUUCAGUUAGACGAUUUAGUACAAAGAUAUACAACUUUCGAUAAUAUGUCAUCGAUUGAUGCGACAGAUGACGCAACGGAUGACGUAACGGAUGACGUAACAGAUGAGUAUAAGAAAAAGGGUAUAAACACAAAAAACAAUGUUAAAAAAAAUGUCAAAAAAAAUGUCAAAAAAAAUGUCAAAAAAAAUGUCAAAAAAAAUGCCCAAAAAAAUGCUAAAAAAAAAGCAAACGAAAGGGCAGUAGAAAGGGCAAUAGAAAACGAACUUAACCAAAUUGUGAAAACAUAUAUUAAGCUGUCUGAUAUUGCUAAAAACGUUAUGAUCUAUUACAACGGAAUAUUAUAUUUUGAAUUUAUAUAUAAUAAACAAUUAGAAUAUAUUAAAAAAUGGAAUGUAUUAAAAUUAAAAAACGAAAUAAUAUCUGAAAUUAUUAAUAAAAAAAUGAAUAUAACUAAAAUACAAUCUUUUGCAGAUGUAUGUAAUUUCAAAUUUCAUAAUGUAGCUAUGAUAGUUAUGCAAUUAUUGGUCGAUUUAUUUUAUAUAUCAAAUGACAUAAAAUGUAAAUGCUUUUUUCUUCUAUGCAUAUGUAAAAUCUUAUCUAAUUAUUAUUAUUCUCAUUUUAUUAAUGAAUUAAAAAUAAGAAAUAUAUUUUAUUAUUGUAUUAAUUCGUCUAAUUCGACUUUACAAAAAAGUUUUCUCUAUACUCUUCUUCAAUUAAUUAAAACAUAUGAACAUUUUCUAAAUAGCAAAAACAGUGUACUUGCGAUUCAAAUAGAGAAGGGAAGUGGUACUAAAAAGGAAAUAAAAGAAACAAAAGAAACAAAAGAAACAAAAGGAACAAAAGGAACAAAAGGAACAAAAGGAACAAAUGAAACAAAUGAAAUAGAAGACAACAAUAAUAAAAAGAAAAGCGUGAAAAAAAAUGUGAAAAAAAAACGUGAAAAAAAGCUUAAGCAAAAAUGUGAAAAAAAGUUUGAGCAAAAAUAUGAAAAAAAGCUUAAGUAA
rnacentral:lncRNA from 1 species